rnacentral:rRNA from 1 species
UACGUAGGGGGCAAGCGUUGUCCGGAAUCAUUGGGCGUAAAGAGCGUGUAGGCGGCCAGAUAAGUCCGCUGUGAAAACUCGAGGCUCAACUUCGAGCUGUCGGCGGAAACUAUCUGGCUAGAGUCCGGAAGAGGAGAGUGGAAUUCCUGGUGUAGCGGUGAAAUGCGUAGAUAUCAGGAGGAACACCAGUGGCGAAGGCGGCUUUCUGGACGGUAACUGACGCUGAGACGCGAAAGCGUGGGGAGCAAACAGG